UCUCUGCUACAUCAUGUCUGCAAGCAAUGCACACACUUGUAUUUGGAUUAUACUGUGGAUUUUCUUAACAGUAUGUGCAGAAGGGAACCAAGUGGAUCAAUAUCCAUUAAUCACAGCGAGAGAGAAAGAGACUGCUCAGAUAAAGUGUAAUCACAGCAUUACUAAUGCUAACAGCUUGUACUGGUACAAGCACAUUAAUGGGAGAGCCUUAGUUAUGGUCAUCUCCGGAUUCAGUACAGAUUCAUCUAAUGGCAGGUUUCACAUGGCCAUCGAUCGCAGUCAGAGAUCUACAGAGCUGUCUAUUGAGUCAGUGGAGAUAAAGGACUCAGCUACGUAUUACUGUGCUGUGGAGCCCACAGUGAUACAGACUGGGAGGAACCUUGUACAUAUACUACAGAAUGCUCCUGACUGUAUACAAUAUGAAUACAUACAUGUAAGGAAAAAGGUUAAAAUAUAGUGACAAGCAUUUAAAUUGGUAGAUUGCAAUUAUCUCUCUUUGUUUUAAUCAAUAUAUCUAUUUGUUUAUAAAAAAAAGCAGAGCAGUUGAAUCAAAAUUAGUUAAAUUGCAUCAUAAUGUGUGUCAAAGUUUUCAAAAAGUGCAUAGUAUUAAUUCAAGAUGCAAUGAUAAAAAUUAUAAUAAUCUAUGGUAGGAGUGAGUUUAGGAAUUUGAAAGAUUUCAAUUUUUUUAGCACUGUAUUUUCUUUCAAAUCUAUUACACAAUUCCUGGCAAAAUAUUGGACAUUUUUAGUAAAACUAUAAAUUAUUAAAUAAAUCAAAUAACAGCAAUAGAACAUGUAGUUUGUUGCAAGUCUCCAAGACUAGAUUCUACUAGUUAUUAUUACCAAAAUGAAUGGCACUCAGUUUAUUGACCUCACAUUUACAGAAAUUGAAUCUAUGACUCUGAUAUACUCUGUAGAUGGAGCAAAACAAACGACCUACAAUUUUUGUGUUUGCCUACGGAUUCUUUACUAUCUUUGUAAUACCCAGUAGUUGUCCAACGGUGGCAGUAUUAUGUAUAAAAUGUAAAAUGUAUAAAACAGACAGACACCUAUAAAUAUAAAAAACAAAAAAACAAAUGGAAAAUCUAUGAGUAUGCUAUGUUAAUGUUGGAACUGGAAACAGUAGGUUGUGGAGAAAGCAGAUUAGUCAUCCCGUAGCAUCAAAUAA